GUUGCUAUGGUGAAAUUGGUAAACACACAAGCUUGAGGGGUUUGGUUUUCUCGGUUCAAGUCCGAGUAGCAACA
rnacentral:tRNA from 1 species